GUGGAAAUAAUAUUUUGCUCAAAAGUCAAUGUUUGCAUGGAGUGGAAACAAACGUUUUUGGUGGAAAUGGGCCGAUUUGCGAGUGCUAAUCAACCACCACUAACGUUAGCUAUCAUAGCUAAAUUACCUGGAAAAUUAAUUAGCCACACAUUCACCCAUGGACCAACAAUGGGGCUCACGGGUGUAUUCAACUAAUGUUAAUGUCUUUAUUACGUUAUAUUUGUCAGAAAUCCCAAGUGAAGUCUGAGUAGUGUCAAUCAUUUAUGUUGCGCUGCAUAUGUAAUUUAUGUAGACGGUAGUAGCUUUAAUUUAUUGCAUAUUAGUGUACUGUACUUGCUUAUGAUAAAUAUAAUUAUUAGUGUUUGAUUAAAGUGCAAGCCGUUUUAUUACAGUCAGCUUUCAUUCACAGUGAUGUCAUCAUGAGCAAGAGGAAGGGUGGCAGUGACAUUCAUCAGUUUUUUGGGCAGUCAGAAUUUUUUAUUUUUUUAUUUAACCGGGUAGGCCAGUUGAGAACAAAUUCUUAUUUACAACUGCGACCUGGCCAGGAUAAAGCAAAGCAGUGCGACAGAAACAACACAGAGUUACACAUAAACAAACAUACAGUCAAUAACACAAUAGAAAAAUAUAUGUACAGUGUGUGCAAAUAUAGAAGAUUAGGGAGGUAAGGCAAUAAAUAGGCCUUAGUGGUGAAAUAAUUACAAUUUAGCAUUAACACUGGAGUGAUGGAUGUGCAGAUGAUGAUGUGCAAAUAGAGAUACUGGGGUGCUAAAGAGCAAGAGGAUAAGUAACAAUAUCGGGAUGAGGUAGUUGGGUGUGCCAUUUACAGAUUGGCUGUGUACAGGUCCAGUGAUCGGUAAACUGCUCUGACAGCUGAUGCUUAAAGUUAGAGAGGGAGAUGUAAGACUCCAUCUAAGGUGAUUUUUGCAAUUCUUUCCAGUCAUUGGCAGCAGAGAACUGAGAGGAAAGGUGGCCAAAGGAAGUGUUGGCUCUGGGGGUGACCAGUGAAAUAUACCUGCUGGAGCGGUGCUACGGGUGGGCGUUGAUAUGGUGACCAGUGAGCUGAGAUAAGGCGGGGCUUUACCUAGCAUAGACUUAUAGAUGACCUGAAGCCAGUGGGUUUUGCGAUGAAUAUGUAGUGAGGGCAAGCCAACGAGAGCAUACGUGUCGCAGUGGUGGGUAGUAUAUGGGGCUUUGGUGACAAAACGGAAUGCACUGUGAUAGACUAUUUCUAUUUCACCUUUAUUUAGCCAGGUAGGCCAGUUGAGAACAAGUUCUCAUUUACAACUGCGACCUGGCCAAGACCAAGCAAAGCAGUGUGACACAAACAACACUGAGUUACACAUGGAAUAAACAAAUGUACAGUCAAUAACACAAUAGAAAAGUCUAUAUACAGUGUGUGCAAAUCAAGUAAGAUUAGGGAGGUAAGGCAAUAAAUAGGCCAUAGUGGCGAAAUAAUUACAAUUUAGCAAUUAAACACUGGAGAGAUAGAUUAGCAGGAGAUGAAUGUGCAAGUAGAGAUACUGGGUUGCAAAGGAGCAAAAAAAUACAACAAUAUGGGGAUGAGGUAGUUGGGUGGGCUGUUUACAGAUGGGCUAUGUGCAGAGUGCAAUGAUCUGUAAGCUGCUCUGACAGCUGAUGCUUAAAGUUAGUGAGGGAGAAAUGAGUCUCCAGCUUCAGUAUUUUUGCAAGUCUUUCCAGUCAUUGACAGCAGAGAACUGGAAGGAAAGGCAGCCAAAGUAGGAGUUGGCUUUGGGGCUGACCAGUGAAAUAUACCUGCUGGAGCGUGUGCUACGAGUGGGUGCUGCUAUGGUGACCAGUGAGCUGAGAUAAGGCGGGGCUUUACCUAGCAAAGACUUAUAGAUGACCUGGAGCCAGUGGGUUUGGUGACGAAUAUGAAGCGAGGGCCAGCCAACGAGAGCAUACAGGUCGCAGUGGUAAGUAGUAUAUGGGGCUUUGGUGACAACAUGGAUGGCACUGUGAUAGACUGCAUCCAAUUUGCUGAGUAGAGUGUAAAUGACAUUGCCGAAGUCAAGGAUCGGUAGGAUAUUCAGUUUUACGAAAGAAGAAUAAGUUGAGAGCAGUGAGGAAUUGAGUACCAGUCAGAUGAUAGAAGUCUACAGUAGUACAAGUGAUGAGUAAAUGUUUCUUGAUAUAAUAAUCAUUGCCAUUCAGAUCAGAAAUGGUUAGUAAUCCAUUCCUGAACAUCAUAGCAAGAAACACCACUUGUUUACUGAUAAUAUUUAUUUCAUGUUCAGGGUAAGGAGAGAGCAUGAGGAUGCCAACAGGGCAGGGAAAGCAGGUGAGUGAGGAAAGGAGUAAAUAUUGAUGACUGAUCUGAUAUUGCUGUGUUGGUGUUGUUCCUACGACAUCAUAAUUAAUGUUGCUCCAGGACCAUCAUUAUAACUGACCUGUAGUUAGUUGGUUACGAAAAAGGACAUCACAACAGUCUAAUCCUAAUGUACAGACCAGACUCCUGUUGGCCUCCAUAUGUGUAUCAACAUGUGUAUCAACAUUCUUUCUAGUCCUUAGUUUACUGAUAAUAUUUCUUUCAUGUUCACUCUCCUGUGUUCAGUGUAAAGAGAGAGAGAGAGAGCAUGAGGAUGCUGACAGGACAGGGAGAGCAGGUGACAUGGAGAUAAUAAAUUCAAGCAGUCUUAUGAAGAUUGUUGGGGGUGUGAAGUACUUGGUGCGGCAAGGUCAGGCUUUUUGAGGCAUUGAUAAGGAAAGUGGGAAUUUCAGCAAGCUUCUAAAGUACAAGGCAGAGGGCGACGCAGAGCUGACCACCUGGCUGAAAGGUCACUUUGAUUUCACCAGUCCCCAAAUGCAAAACGAAAUGUUGAAGCUGGUGGGCAAUACAAUCAUCAAAGAAUUUCUGUCGGAAAUAACAUCAAUGCCAGUGGUUCAGUUCGCACUUAUCAUUGAUGGCACCCAGGAUAUAUCAGGAGUCAAUAUGUUUGAAUACACCCAGGAUAUAUCAGGAGUUGAUCAGGAGUCAAUAUUAGAGGUCGACCGAUUAUGAUUUUUCAACGCCGAUACUGAUUAUUGGAGGACCAAAAAAAGCCUAUACCGAUUAAUCGGCCGAUUUUUAUAUGUGUGUGUAAUGACAAUUACAACAAUACUGAAUGAACAAUGAAUACUUAUUUUAACUUAAGAUAAUACAUAAAAUCUAUUUAGUCUCAAAUAAAUAAUGAAACAUGCUCAAUUUGGUUAACAUAAUGCACAGUGUUGGAGAAGAAAGUAAAAGUGCAAUAUGUGCCAUGUAAAAAAUAAAAAAGCUAACGUUUAUAUUCCAUGCUCAGAACAAAUGAAAGCUGGUGGUUCAAUAUUCCCAGUUCUUCAAUAUUCCCAGUUAAGAAUUAAUAAGUUUUAGGUUGUGGUUAUAACAGGAAUUAUGACGCGUCGACUAUUUUUCUCUAUACCAUUUGUAUUUCAUAUACCUUUGACUAUUGGAUAUUCUAAUAGGCACUUUAGUAUUGCCAGCCAGAUCUCAGGAGUUGAUAGGCUUGAAGUCAUAAACCGCGCUGUGAUUCAAGCAUUGCUAAGAGCUGCUGGCAAACGCAGUAAAGUUUGAAUUAAUGUUUACGAGCCUGCUGCUGCCUACCACCGCUCAGUCAAACUGCUCUAUCAAAUAUCAAAUCAUAGACUUAAUUAUAAUAUAAUAAUCACAGAAAUAUGAGCCUUUGGUCAUUAAUAUGGUCAAAUCCGGAAACGAUCAUUACGAAACAAAACAUUUAUUCUUUAAGUGAAAUACGGAACCGUAUUUUAUCGAACGGGUGACAACCCUAAGUCUAAAUAUUGCUGUUACAUUGCACAACCUUCAAUGUUAUGUCAUCAUUAUGUAAAAUUCUGGCAAAUUAGUUCGCAAUGAGCCAGGUGGCUCAAACUGUUGCAUAUACCCUGACUCUGUGUGCAAUAAACACAACAGAAGUGACACAAUUUCCCUAGUUAAUAUUGCCUGCUAACAUUAAUUUCUUUUAACUAAAUAUGCAGGUUUACAAAUAUAUACUUCUGUGUAUUGAUUUUAAGAAAGGCAUUGAUGUUUAUGGUUAGAUACAUUCGUGCAACGAUUGUGCUUUUUUUGCAAAUGCGCUUUUGUUAAAACAUCACCCGUUUGGCGAAGUAGGCUGUGAUUCGAUGAUAAAUUAACAGGCACUGCAUUGAUUAUAUGCAACGCAGGACAAGCUUGUUAACCUAGUAAUAUCAUCAACCAUGUGUAGUUAACUAGUGAUUAUGUUAAGAUUGAUUGUUUUUUAUAAGGUAAGUUUAAUGCUAGCUAGCAACUUACCUUGGCUCCUUGCUGCACUCGCGUAACAAGUGGUCAGCCUGCCAUUUAACUAACAAUUUAGCAGUCUUAUGGCUUAGGGGUAGAAGCUGUUCAGGGUCCUGUUGCUUUCAGACUUGGUGCAUUGGUACUGCUAGCUGUGCGGUAGCAGAGAGAACAGUUCAGGGCUCUACAUUCUGAACAUUUUACUCGCAUAUGCGCCUAAAUAUUUUGCUGUGCGACCAGGCCCCAAGAAAUUAACAAUUCUAGCUUUAUUACCUCAAAUAUUUGUCAUUGUGCGCCUAAAUUAUUUUGUGCGCGCUUCCUUUUUUCCAUUUAGGCGCACACGUGCUCCUUUAAAAAAAGCUCAGCAUUGAGCCCUGCAGUCUAGGACUUGGUGGCUGGAGUCUGACCAUUUUUAGGGCCUUCCUCUGACACACCACCUGGUAUAGAGGUUCUGGAUGGCUGGAAGCUUGGCCUCAGUGAUGUACUGGGCCAUACGCACCACCAUCUGUAGGACCUUGCGGUCGGUUGCCAUACCAAGCAGUGAUGCAGUAGGGCUGAGCGAUAUGGCCUGAAACUCAUAGCUCACCUUUUAUUAAUUUUUCUUAUGAGUGAUUCACAAUAACAUCUUGAUUUAAAAAAAUAUAUGUGUGUGUUUUCUUUAAGCUUUGUUGUACAAUUUAAAGGUCAAAUCCAAACGGUCAACAAUAAUUGAAUUCAGAGCUUGUGUAAUUAUACCGAGGCUGAGUAUAUACCUUACACAACCAUAAGACCCACUAAUAAGUUAAUCAAAAUAGUUGUACCUGCUUUUUUUUGCAAUAAUCACUAGUCUGGCUUUCAGGUUUGUCUAUAAAAAUGCAAUUUUUGUUACAAAUUUAACCAAAACCAUUCAUAAUGCACAUCCACUAAUAAUGUAGCAAGCAUUAUAGAAAAUUAACACUCAUAAACAAUUUCUCAAACACAAGCCCACAUGCUAGUGUAACAGGGUUGGUUAUGUUUCCACUUGCCUCUAAAGAAAUGUGUAUUUAAUGUUCAAUCAUUCUUAUUGGUUAGUUCAACUCUGAUGACAAUAAGGUGUGUUGUGAUUGGCCCCGCUUGCAGAUAGGGGGAGAUCGCGAACGUCAGGUCUUCCCAGUAUGAAAAUGUGAUGCAAGGGGUAGGUCACGUUCUGAAUACUGUUUUCUAUUUUCUAUUUUACAAUGUGUACAAGUUUGCUGUACGUUACUGAUUUAUACAUGUGUGGGUAUAUGGUACCUGUUAGGGAUUGAGGGGCUUUCUGGGAUGUGCUUUGGCAUAUGAUUGCUGUAAAUAAAUGUGUUAGCUAGCAUACACCGAUGUCAUGGUCACAUAAGCCACUGCUAACACAGUUGUCUUCAUGCUACAGAUUUUGCCAUCGACAGCCAUCAACACUGUUAAGCCCUGCACAACUAACGUGCUGUUUCCCAUUUAACAACAGAAAUAAAUGAUGCUCGGGGCGAGGGGUCGGUGCGAGGGGACGGACUAAAGUUAAACUGUUACAUUGGUGCCGUGACCCGGAUCACUGUUUGCCCGAGGCAAAGGAGGAGGUCGAAAGGGGGGUGAGUGUAACCGAUGUGAAAUGGCUAGCUAGUUAGCGGUAGUGCGCGCUAAUAGCGUUUCAAUCGGUGACGUUACUCGCUUUGAGACGUUGAAGUAGUGGUUCCCCUUGCUCUGCUAGGGCCGCGGCUUUUGUGGAGCGAUGGGUAACGAUGCUUCGUGGGUGACUGUUGUUGAUGUGUGCAGAGGGUCCCUGGUUCGCACCCGGGUCGGGGCGAGGGGACGGACUAAAGUUGAACUGUUACAGUAGUGAGUAGCCAGCUAAUAUUUAUAUUUCAAGUUUAGCCAACUUGGAUCUAGGUAUAAUUUCACAAGCUCUGAUUUCAGCUAACAAGGCAAAACAGUUGAACUGUUAUGAACACAACCUUCUGUCCGUCUCCAACUAUUUGAACAGCAUGCUAGCCGGUCCACUAUAAAUAAGGCUUACCUUAUUUCUCAGAAUGAGAAAGAGUUGCCAAUUCCUUUAUAAUUGUUUUAAGUUUAUUGCACAUUUAUAAAAGACUAAACAGCUAGUAUAACGAUCUUUAUUUGACUAAAAUGCUGCUAGCGAUAUGUGGUACCGUAAUGCGCGUGUGACAAACUGAGCAUUUUUCAGAAUGAAUGUUCAUUGGUACAUCUGUUUUAGUAUAUUCUGCUCUGCUUGAAUUUUGAGGAGUUGAAACAUAAACAGGGUUGGAAAGGUCAACUUCCCCUCUAUUACAGUAAAAUAAUGUCCCCAUGUGUUUUGGUGUCCAUAUGACCCAUUCUGUUGGUCCAAACCUGAAAUGCGAAUAGCGAGUUGAAACUGUCAUAGAGGAAUAAGUGAUCUCUCAUCUUUGUUGUUGUGAGUGGUAGGGGGAGGGGCUUGGGUGAAAGAGGUGAAUUGAAAUCUGUCCAAAAUAAGCACACCGCGCCUAUUUUGAACCUUAACUUGUCACCUGCCUUCCUGCCAUUGGGAAAACGACUCACAUAGGGAGUUAGGGUGGAGACAUGAGCAUUAUAUACAGAUUUCUGGUGUAAAUGGGAAGCUAUUCAGGCCCCUUCAUAAAAUGUUGUUAUGUUACAGCCUUAUUCUAAAAUGUAUUAAGUCGUUUUUCCCCCCUCAAUGUACACACAAUACCCCAUAAUGACAAAGCAAAAACUGUUUUUUAGAAAUUGGUGCAAAUUUAUAACUUAAAAAAAAACUGAUAUCACAUUUACAUAAGUAUUCAGCCCCUUUACUCAGUACUUUGUUUAAGCACAUUUGGCAGUGAUUACAGCCUUGACUCUUCUCGGGUAUGACACUACAUGCUUGGCACACUUAUUUGGGGAGUUUCUCCCAUUUCUCCGUUCAUCUUUCCCUCGAUCCUGACAGGUCUCCCAGUCUCUGCCGCUGAAAAACAUCCACACAGCAUGCUUCUGGUGGAUGUUGGUGCCAGGAUUCCAGGAUUCCAGGUGCCAGGAUUCCUCCAGACGUGGCAUUCAGGCUAAAGAGUUCAAUCUUGAUUUCAUCAGACCAGAGAAUCUUGUUUCUUAUGGUCUGAGAGUCCUUUACGUGCCUUUUGGCAAAUUCCAAGUAGGCUGUCAUGUGCCUUUUUACUGAGGAGUUGCUUCCAUCUGGCAACUCUACCAAGAAGGCCUGAUUUGGUGGAGUGCUGCAGAGAUGAUUGUCCUCCCAUCUCCACAGAGGAGCUCUGUCAGAGUGACCAUCAGGUUCUUGGUCACCUCCCUGACCAAGGCCCUUCUCCUCCGAUUGCUCAGUUUGGCCGGGCAGCCAGCUCUAGUAAUGAUGGAUGCCACUUAGUUGGUGGGGACCUUCAAUGCUGCAGAAAUGUUUCAGUACCCUUCCUGAGAUCUGUGCCUUGACACAAUCAUGUCUCGGAGCUCUACGGACAAUUCCUUCGACCUCAUGGCUUGGUUUUUGUUCUGACAUACACUGUCAACUGUGCCUGUCAACUGUGCCUUUCCAAAUCAUGUCCAAUCGAUUGAAUUUACCACAGGUGGACUUCAAUCACGUUGUAGAAACAUCUCAAGGAUGAUCAAUGGAAACAGAACGCAACCGAGCUCAAUUUUGAGUCGCAUAGCAAAGGGUCUGAAUACUUGUGUAAAUAAGGUAUUUCUGUUAGUUUUUUUAUGUGCCAAAAUGUCUAAAAUCUGUUUUUGCUUUGUCAUUAUGGGGUAUUGUGUAUAGAUUGAUAAUUCAUUCAAAUAUUGAAUCCAUCUGAGAAUAAGCAGUGUAUAUCACCCAGCCCUAUAAUGCAGUCAAGAUGCAUUAUAGGGUGCAGCUGUUUAACUUUUUGAGGAUCUGAGGGCCCAUGACAAAUCUUUUCAGCCUCCUGAAGGGGAAGAGGUGUUGUUUUUCCCUCUUCACAUCUGUGUUGGUGUAUGUGUACCGUGAUCAAUCCUUAGUGAUGUGAACACCGUGGAACUUUAAGCUCGCGACCUGCUCCACUACAGCUUGUCAACGUGAGUGCUCGGCCCUCUGUUUUCUGUAGUCCAUGAUUAGCUCCUUUGUCUUGCUGACGUUGAGGGAGACAAUCAUUACGCUCCUUUAUAUUUCUAUGAUCUGAAUGUGUCCCCUAGCUGAAGCAGAAGAAACAGACUGUGGUCAAGAGCGCCAAGAAAGGGGGUUCACCCUGGACCUGACUCACCCUGUGGAGGACAGCAUCCUGGACUCGGCCAACUUCGUAUGUUACCGGCCCCGCUUCACCGGACACCAUAGGGCUACUGCCCAUGGUCUUCAUCAUUAAACAGGCUAGGGAUAUUAUGCUUUAUCAUUGUGUAAUGUUUGUCUAACUCUGUGUGUGGACUAUGGUAACAUUCCCUAGCUGACUAGGGUUCUCUUCCCUAGUCACUGCUCUUUCCAACAGGAAACCUUUCUCAACGAGAGGGUAAAGGUCAAUGGCAAGACAGGAAAUCUGGCAAAUGUAGUCGAGAUCAACCUUCUGAAAAACAAGAUCCAUGUCACAGAACCAGCAUUCCAAGAGGUACCUGAAGAAGAACAACCUCCGUGAUUGGUUGAGAGUCGUGUUGUCAGACAAGGAGACCUACGAGCUGAGAUACUUCCAGAUCAGCCAGGAAGAGGACAAUGACGAGUAGAGCCAAGCUCCGCCCACCUGCCCCAGCAUGCAGGACUGGAGACUGGCCAGUCCCUCACACUUGUCACUUGUUUGUGAGAGGGAAGUCUUCUGUGAGAGACAUUUGUAUUUGUCAGUGGAUAGACUGUAAACUUCAGUGUGUCAUCAUGUCUCUAGUUUUGAUGGGAGAAUAAAUUAGAUCAACAAAACA